AAAUGAAUAGACGGGGCCCCGCACAAGCAGCGGAGCGUGUGGUUUAAUUCGACGCAACACGAAGAACCUUACCGGGGUUUGACAUGUACAUGUAAUCCCGUGAAAGCGGGACCCCCCGCAAGGGGCGUGUACACAGGUGUUGCAUGGCUGUCGUCAGCUCGUGCCGUGAGGUGUUGGGUUAAGUCCCGCAACGAGCGCAACCCUCGUCGCCAGUUGAUCUCUCUGGCGAGACUGCCGAGUUCAACUCGGAGGAAGGCGGGGAUGACGUCAAGUCAGCAUGGCCCUUACAUCCCGGGCUACACACACGCUACAAUGGGUGGUACAGAGGGUUGCUAAGCCGCGAGGUGGAGCCAAUCCCACAAAACCAUCCUCAGUUCAGAUUGCAGUCUGCAACUCGACUGCAUGAAGGCGGAGUUGCUAGUAACCGCAGGUCAGCAUACUGCGGUGAAUACGUUCCCGGGGCUUGUACACACCGCCCGU
rnacentral:rRNA from 1 species